CAGAGCCCCAGGGGCGGCCCAGGAAACGUGCUGCCACCGCACGCCAUAUGGAGGCGCCAGGAAAAAGAGAAGGAAGGGGAAAAUCGAUCCCAUGCCGGAUCCAGGAGCAGGUCCCGGUCCCAGUCCUCUUCAGGCUGCAUAUAGUCAUUGGUCUGCUGGGAAUCAUAAUGGUCCAUGAUGGGUUCGGUGCACUGGCCCGCUGCCGACUGCUUGUGUGUUUGCCAGGCUACCCAGGCUCCCUGGCAGGUAUGCCUUGGUGUACUGACACAAUUGAAGCUACCUUCUGGAGACCAGUUUCCUCCUUCCCCAAUUUUACAGCUUCCCUACACUUUCCUGAAACUAGGAAGAGCCCUAAAAUGGUCUACCUGUAUCAUACACCUAACAGAGGGGAAACUAAGACUCGAAGAGUGGAGUGGACGAGAGACUGUGCCGGCAUGGAUUCUACAGGCCCGUUUUGUGUGUAACUUUGUGCCUGACAAAAACCUUAUUAUCCUUGGAGGAGGAAGAAACAGUGCAAGACUAGCUAAAUUGCUUGGUGACUGGGGGUACUCCCUGGGAUCAGUAAAGGGAGGUGGGGACGUGUUGGUCCAGCAGUGUUGCAUCCAGGGAAGAGACCACCCGGAUUCCUGAUGGUCUUGUGAGGGAUGCUGAGUAUGAGAACCAGUAACAAGAAAAACUACAGUUGUUUGUGC
rnacentral:lncRNA from 1 species